UCCGAACCGUCCGGCUCACGGAGAAGCUAAAAAGCAGAUGGCAAAUUUUCAACCGUACCAGUUUAAUCCCGAGUCUGACACUGACAGGGAGCGGAAGAACAAGCCUGACGCUUUUCAACCGAGACUGGAGCAGGAUGGUUCAGAGUGCUAUGUCACAUUGUUACUUUGUACUUCUUCUAAAUGACUGAAGUGCAUGUUACUGUAGUCAUGGAAACGUGUGGACACUGCAGCAGAAACUCACAGUGGGAAAUGUCUGCCGCAAAGAAAUACGAACGGUUCUCAGAGGAAUGAAUCAGGUCCCCAUUCCUCUCAGCUGUAGGCCUUGAGCCGAAUUGCCUCAAAUUAUACACCCUGCAGAACAUCUACAACAUCUACAGAAUGGACUACGGUCCUCUGAGGUGCAGAACAGAAGAACAAGAAGCAGAGACAACAUACAAAAAAGCUGAUGAACACACAGCUGAUAAGGCUGGCAGCACUGGACACUGUGCUACUAAUAGACUCUGACCACUACAAGUUUGGAGGCAAGUGGUGCUGCUAAUGCUCAGUGAUUUGUGGACCAUAUGUCAUAAAGAUAGGCACUGGUGUAAUUGAACACUGACAUUACCUGCUGCAGAAUGGGUCAUCUAGCUAAGAAAACAGACACUCCUGGAUUCUUCACCUCCAAACCUCUGAGCAACAGAUAAGCCAGUCCCCUGCUGAAAAUGACGAGGAGCCGGAGGCCAUGGCUGCAGAAUGGACAGGGGAGUCCGAUGCUGAUAGAGGAGAUAAAGAGACAGUAUCCAGUGAGACAACAGCAGGCCAGCAGAAGAUCCCAGAGCGAUGACGACCAGAGUCGACUGUGGAGAGUCCCCUCGUCUCUAAGUUCAGGAGUUGGGCCUGGAGUUAUCUAGGAGGCCAAUCACCGUCCACGUCAUCGUCUCCGGCGAUCACUCGAGGAAUCACACUUCUGAC